GACGAACGCUGGCGGCGUGCCUAAUACAUGCAAGUCGAACGCUGAAGGAGGAGCUUGCUUCUCUGGAUGAGUUGCGAACGGGUGAGUAACGCGUAGGUAACCUGCCUGGUAGCGGGGGAUAACUAUUGGAAACGAUAGCUAAUAUAGCAUAAGAGUAGAUGUUGCAUGAGAUUUGCUUAAAAGGUGCAAUCGCAUCACUACCAGAUGGACCUGCGUUGUAUUAGCUAGUUGGUGAGGUAACGGCUCACCAAGGCGACGAUACAUAGCCGACCUGAGAGGGUGAUCGGCCACACUGGGACUGAGACACGGCCCAGACCCCUACGGGAGGCAGCAGUAGGGAAGCUUCGGCAAUGGACGGAAGUCUGACCGGGCCACGCCGCGGGAGUGAAGAAGGGUUUCGGAUCGGAAAGCUCUGUUGUAUGGGAAGAACGAGUGUUAGAGUUGAAAGUUCACACUGUGACGGUAUCUUACCAGAAAGGGACGGCUAACUACGUG
rnacentral:rRNA from 1 species